AUGUCUGGGAAACUGCCUGAUGGAGGGGGAUAACUACUGGAAACGGUAGCUAAUACCGCAUAACGUCGCAGGACCAAAGAGGGGGACCUUCGGGCCUCUUGCCAUCGGAUGUGCCCAGAUGGGAUUAGCUAGUUGGUGGGGUAACGGCUCACCUAGGCGACGAUCCCUAGCUGGUCUGAGAGGAUGACCAGCCACACUGGAACUGAGACACGGUCCAGACUCCUACGGGAGGCAGCAGUGGGGAAUAUUGCACAAUGGGCGCAAGCCUGAUGCAGCCAUGCCGCGUGUAUGAAGAAGGCCUUCGGGUUGUAAAGUACUUUCAGCGGGGAGGAAGGGAGUAAAGUUAAUACCUUUGCUCAUUGACGUUACCCGCAGAAUAAGCACCGGCUA
rnacentral:rRNA from 1 species